UAGGGAAUCUUCGGCAAUGGGGGCAACCCUGACCGAGCAACGCCGCGUGAGUGAAGAAGGUUUUCGGAUCGUAAAGCUCUGUUGUAAGAGAAGAACGUGUGUGAGAGUGGAAAGUUCACACAGUGACGGUAACUUACCAGAAAGGGACGGCUAACUACGUGCCAGCAGCCGCGGUAAUACGUAGGUCCCGAGCGUUGUCCGGGUUUAUUGGGCGUAAAGCGAGCGCAGGCGGUUUAAUAAGUCUGAAGUUAAAGGCAGUGGCUUAACCAUUGUUCGCUUUGGAAACUGUUGAACUUGAGUGCAGAAGGGGAGAGUGGAAUUCCAUGUGUAGCGGUGAAAUGCGUAGAUAUAUGGAGGAGCACCGGUGGCGAAAGCGGCUCUCUGGUCUGUAACUGACGCUGAGGCUCGAAAGCGUGGGGAGCAAACAGG
rnacentral:rRNA from 1 species